rnacentral:rRNA from 1 species
UAGGGAAUCUUCCACAAUGGACGCAAGUCUGAUGGAGCAACGCCGCGUGAGUGAAGAAGGUUUUCGGACCGUAAAGCUCUGUUGUUGGUGAAGAAGGAUAGAGGUAGUAACUGGCCUUUAUUUGACGGUAAUCAACCAGAAAGUCACGGCUAACUACGUGCCAGCAGCCGCGGUAAUCGUAGGUGGCAAGCGUUGUCCGGAUUUAUUGGGCGUAAAGCGAGCGCAGGCGGAAGAAUAAGUCUGAUGUGAAAGCCCUCGGCUUAACCGAGGAAUUGCAUCGGAAACUGUUUUCUUGAGUGCAGAAGAGGAGAGUAGAACUCCAUGUGUAGCGGUGGAAUGCGUAGAUAUAUGGAAGAAUACCAGUGGCGAAGGCGGCUCUCUGGUCUGCAACUGACGCUGAGGCUCGAAAGCAUGGGUAGCGAACAGGAUUAGAUACCCUGGUAGUCCAUGCCGUAAACGGUAUGAGUGCUAAGUGUU